CGAUCUAGGGCUGAAAAGUAUUUUAUUUACAUUAAAAAGGUUAUUAUUUUAUAUAAUGUAGUUCGA
rnacentral:tRNA from 1 species